GUGUUUGAUUCUGGCUCAGAUUGAACGCUGGCGGCAGGCCUAACACAUGCAAGUCGAGCGGUAGCACAGAGAGCUUGCUCUCGGGUGACGAGCGGCGGACGGGUGAGUAAUGUCUGGGAAACUGCCUGAUGGAGGGGGAUAACUACUGGAAACGGUAGCUAAUACCGCAUAACGUCGCAAGACCAAAGUGGGGGACCUUCGGGCCUCAUGCCAUCAGAUGUGCCCAGAUGGGAUUAGCUAGUAGGUGGGGUAACGGCUCACCUAGGCGACGAUCCCUAGCUGGUCUGAGAGGAUGACCAGCCACACUGGAACUGAGACACGGUCCAGACUCCUACGGGAGGCAGCAGUGGGGAAUAUUGCACAAUGGGCGCAAGCCUGAUGCAGCCAUGCCGCGUGUGUGAAGAAGGCCUUCGGGUUGUAAAGCACUUUCAGCGGGGAGGAAGGCGAUAAGGUUAAUAACCUUGUCGAUUGACGUUACCCGCAGAAGAAGCACCGGCUAACUCCGUGCCAGCAGCCGCGGUAAUACGGAGGGUGCAAGCGUUAAUCGGAAUUACUGGGCGUAAAGCGCACGCAGGCGGUCUGUCAAGUCGGAUGUGAAAUCCCCGGGCUCAACCUGGGAACUGCAUUCGAAACUGGCAGGCUAGAGUCUUGUAGAGGGGGGUAGAAUUCCAGGUGUAGCGGUGAAAUGCGUAGAGAUCUGGAGGAAUACCGGUGGCGAAGGCGGCCCCCUGGACAAAGACUGACGCUCAGGUGCGAAAGCGUGGGGAGCAAACAGGAUUAGAUACCCUGGUAGUCCACGCCGUAAACGAUGUCGAUUUGGAGGUUGUGCCCUUGAGGCGUGGCUUCCGGAGCUAACGCGUUAAAUCGACCGCCUGGGGAGUACGGCCGCAAGGUUAAAACUCAAAUGAAUUGACGGGGGCCCGCACAAGCGGUGGAGCAUGUGGUUUAAUUCGAUGCAACGCGAAGAACCUUACCUGGUCUUGACAUCCACAGAACUUASCAGAGAUGCUUUGGUGCCUUCGGGAACUGUGAGACAGGUGCUGCAUGGCUGUCGUCAGCUCGUGUUGUGAAAUGUUGGGUUAAGUCCCGCAACGAGCGCAACCCUUAUCCUUUGUUGCCAGCGGUUAGGCCGGGAACUCAAAGGAGACUGCCAGUGAUAAACUGGAGGAAGGUGGGGAUGACGUCAAGUCAUCAUGGCCCUUACGACCAGGGCUACACACGUGCUACAAUGGCAUAUACAAAGAGAAGCGACCUCGCGAGAGCAAGCGGACCUCAUAAAGUAUGUCGUAGUCCGGAUUGGAGUCUGCAACUCGACUCCAUGAAGUCGGAAUCGCUAGUAAUCGUAGAUCAGAAUGCUACGGUGAAUACGUUCCCGGGCCUUGUACACACCGCCCGUCACACCAUGGGAGUGGGUUGCAAAAGAAGUAGGUAGCUUAACCUUCGGGAGGGCGCUUACCACUUUGUGAUUCAUGACUGGGGUGAAGUCGUACAGG
rnacentral:rRNA from 1 species